rnacentral:rRNA from 1 species
GACGAACGCUGGCGGCGUGCUUAACACAUGCAAGUCGAACGAUGAAGCCGGAGCUUGCUCCGGUGGAUUGGUGGCGAACGGGUGAGUAACACGUGAGCAAUCUGCCCUUGACUCUGGGAUAACUGCGGGAAACUGUAGCUAAUACCGGAUACGACACCUUGGGGCAUCCCAGGGUGUGGAAAGAAUUUCGGUCAAGGAUGAGCUCGCGGCCUAUCAGCUAGUUGGUGAGGUAAGGGCUCACCAAGGCGACGACGGGUAGCCGGCCUGAGAGGGUGACCGGCCACACUGGAACUGAGACACGGUCCAGACUCCUACGGGAGGCAGCAGUGGGGAAUAUUGCACAAUGGGCGAAAGCCUGAUGCAGCAACGCCGCGUGAGGGAUGAAGGCCUUCGGGUUGUAAACCUCUUUUAGCAGGGAAGAAGCGAAAGUGACGGUACCUGCAGAAAAAGCACCGGCUAACUACGUGCCAGCCGCCGCGGUAA